AUAAGAAUUAAUAUCUCCCUGUUAUAAGAAUAACAAGCAGAGAAAUAUUUCCCUAGAAGAGUUCACUGAAGACUUAAGAGGGACAACAAAGGACCUAAGCCUCGUCCCCUCCCUUAUCUCUGCCUUCCCCAAAUCAUUAUGUUGUACUUCAUAUAGAAGGAACACAAUAUUUCAUAUCUGAAAAUCUGAAAUAAUCUUGCAAACAGAUCAUUUAGAAAAGGUUAAAUAUCACCUCUCUCUCAAUAUGUAUUUUGUACAAACUGAUACAAGAAUGUAUGUAAGUAGCUGUGAACAGAAAAUACUAAUACUGCUAUGGUCAAUGACAAUGAAGAAACUGCAGUGCCUGGGACUUUCUCUCAGGAGUCAUCCUGCUAACAACUGUGUGAACGAAGAGCAGAAAAGGCAGCUUCACCCCAGAGAACUCAUCGCAUGUCAGAUAGCGUAUGGAGCUGGUGGACCAACACAGGCAAGGAGAAGUGCCCGAGUGUCAAAGCAUGUGGCAUGAAGUGGGUGAAAUUCAACCCCCUUCGAAAAGUGCAAAAGAAGCAGGUUACAACAGGAUCCUGAAAUACAAGAGGAGUGAAUGGAGGUGUUUGGGACAGUGGGACAGCAGAGAUAAAGCAAAGGAAAAGGGUGAGGAGGAAAUAUUACAGAAAUGUCCUGUAUUAAGGAUUGUUUUUAUGAUGUAAAAAUCUACCACCAGUUAUUACAUUAUUUAACAGGUAGUGCUGGUAAAAAAUGUCUGUCAGCUAAUGUUAUGAAGCAACAUUUAGCAAGUAUCCAGUUUUACUGGCAUCUACUUUCAUAGUGAGUUUUGUCAGGAAUAAGUACAUAAUGCUUAAGAAGAUACAUAGCAUAUAUGUCAGUAUACAUCGUGUUUUGGAGGAAGAGAUUUUACUAUAUGAGUCAUGUAGAAAAAUCUUUUGAUUAACCAUGAUAGAUUAGUCAGCGUGUUUAAGUACAUCUAAAUAUUACCAAGAGAAAGAAAAGACAGACUAUCUGAAUCAGAGCAGAUUUGCUGAUUUAGUUUUAUAUUGCUUGCUCCUUGCAAGAGGUAAAGAGAACACUCUGCAGUUAAAGAAACUACAUGUUUCUGUUCUCUUCUGUCAAAUUCAAGAGAUGCCUUGAUUUCCAUCUAGAAAAGGUGAACAGUAACAAGGGCAUUAAAAGGAGGAUUGAAGAAGACCAUGAUUAGUGUCUCUCAGGACACCAAAUGCUGAAACAGAAC
rnacentral:lncRNA from 1 species